GCCGCCCCGUCGCGGCCCCAGCUCGGAUCCCCGGCCACCGUGGAGCGCCGCCGCCGCCCCGCGACUCACACACGGAGCUGAUUCUACAUAUAAAGGAUGUCAUAUGGUAUUUCUCCUUCUCUGCCUGGCUUACUUCACUCAGUGUGACUUUCUAGGUCCAACCACGUUGCUGCAAAUAGCCUUCUUUCAUUCUUUUUAAUGGCUGCACACUCCUCCCUUCCGGUAAGCAUCUAACAUCACUCUCUGUAUUGAUCCCAAGUCAUGCUGGUUGGAAACUCAUUGUCAGCUCUCCCCAGUUCUCUCUCCACUGGUCCAGUGUUUGGUGGGAGCUAUGGUGGCUUUUCGGCACUGGUGUGGGUCCCCAGUGAGAUGGUAAGGCAGGUCUGGGUUCAUCCUGCCUUCAGCCAGAGUAGAGAUGUCUCCCAGGUGCCGGGCCUUCUGGGUGCCUCCAGUCUUCCUGGAAAUGUUAACCCACACAGGGGCGAGGGCAGCUGAGAAGCUUGUCUCAGAGAGACCGUCUGGAGAGGGAGGCCCACUUCUGCUUUCCACAGGGAAGCUGGGUCACAGAGCGCAGAACUGUAGCAGGAGGCCGCAAGAAAGUGAUACUUCCUUCUGCUUCGAAGGCCCAGGCCCGUCAUUUGCCUGCAGCCCCACCUUCCUCACCACCCAGCCCUGGUUUUUCCUCUGGGUUGGGGUUCUUUCUACCAUCUUCUCUGCAGUUGGUCCUUGAGAAGGCGGAAGGGAAGGGAGGGGAGGGAGGAGCGAAUGAAGCCAGUCCUCAGUGCAGAGCCUCCUGGGGUGGGGAGACCCCCAUGACCAUGCUGGAUUGUUCAGCCACAGAAAGAUGUUCGUUUUGAAAUUCUGCAUCAUGGAAAUCGUUACAAAACUCUUGAGUAGAGGUUUUGAAAUCUUUUAAUGUUCAGGCAGUAUAAUUAUUUCUUAAUCUUAACUACAGUGCUGUUUUAAAAAUUCUUUAAGCUGUGCAUGUUAGUCGCUCAGUCAUGGCUAGCUCUUUGUGACACCCAUGGGUGUAGCCUGCCAGGCUCCUCUGUCCAGGGGAUUUUCCAGGCAAAAAUACUGGAGAGGGUUGCCAUUUCCUUCUCUAGGGGAUCUUCCUGACCCAGGGAUCAAACCUGGGUCUCCUGCAUUUGCAGACAGAUUUUUUACUAUCUGAGCAACCAGCCUCUCCUUAAAUACUUGGGGUAGAUCAGUGACCUUUCAAACUUCUUUGACCUUGAUCCAUAUCAAGAAACAUCAUGUUUUAUCUUGUGCCAGAAUGCACAUCCAUCUAUAUGCAAAGAAAGAAAGAGGAAGAGAGAAAGAAAAUUUGGUGAAAAGCCCCUCCCCACAGCUUGUAGCGGGUGGGGAGUGUGACCCCAGGCAGUCCUCUGAGGCCAGCUUGGUGAGAUGUAAAAUACACAGAAGUGAGGAAUCCCUGGUGACUUGGUGGUUAGGACUUUCUGCUUUCACUGCUGUGGCCUGGGUUCAGUCCUUGGUCUGGGAACUAUGAUCCAGCAAGCAGCUUGGCCCCAAAAUAACUACAUAAGUAAAGUAAAAUGCAUAGAGGUGAGCCCAGCUAUUCUAUAAGCUCCUGUCCAAUAAGGUUUAUUACACAAACACAAAUUAAGAUACAUCUGCCUUUCCAUGUGGUGCUAGUGGUAAAAAAAACCCUCCUGCCAAUGCAGGAGACAUAAGAGAUGAGGGUUUGAUCCCGGGGUUCGGAAGAUCCCCUGGAGGAGGGCAUGGUGACCCACUCCAGUAUUUUUGCCUGGAGAAUCCCAUGGACAGAGGAGCCUGGCGGGCUGUAGUCCAUGGAGUCACAAAGAAUUGAAUAGUACUGAAGCAACUUAGCAGGCAUACAAUGAAUGCUAUACCUUGUAAAUAUCUUUAAAAUAGAAUUAAAUUAUACUUACUAAUGUGAAAGAUGUUCUUUAAAAAGCUGAACACAAGCUGAACAGUAAUAUAUAUUACCAUUUCUGAAAUAUAAUAGUUAUGUUGACACAGUGAUAAACUAUGAAUAUCAAUGAUUUUUUUAUACUAAAGUUUUCAAUACUGAUUUUUUCUGGGUAAUAGGUGAAUGCUGAUUUUACUUUUUUACAUCUUUCUUUUGUUACAAAGAUUAUGACUUAUGUGGUUUUAGGACAGUGGUGUGAUGGGCGAUGACGCGUAAUAAGAUGGUGAGACAGCAGGAAACUUUAAGGGAAUGGGCAGACUGACCCUAGAGGAACUCAUGCACUGCAGACGGUGUAAGCAGACAGAAUAUUUUCCUAAAGAAGUGUCUACUGAUAUUUACUCAUAUUUAGUACUGAGUUUCUCGAGAACCUACCGUCCAUUAGCCCCAGUUUCGGGGAGGAAGCCCUGAAGGGGAGAAGGGGUAUGGGUGGGGAGAACAGACCAGUUUGCACAGCAUCCCUGGUGGCCAGGCAGUGAUGAGGCAGUCCACGCAGGCGCGAAGGAGCCGUGCCCCCAGGACCCUCAGUGGUGGAUUUCACUGUGUAGGCCAAGGUGAAUCUUGUGGAAAGUCUCUGUGGGAAACCGUUUUUUCCCCAUCACAAUCACUUUCUUGGCUAGACUCUUCUGUAACAAAGUAUUGGUGUGUUACCAAAAAAUGUAGAGACACAGAGAUACUCAGUAAUGGCUGUGUCCUCUGAAUAGGUGAGUGUCAUCCUCUGAAUAGGUGGAUGAUUAACAAGGGGAGGAACAGGGACUUCUGCGGAGACUAACUGGGGGCUAGAAAGUAGUAUCUAUUGCCUUUGUACAUGACCUAAGACUCGUUUGUAGUCACCAGCGAGCAGAUACUUGGUCACUCCCCUGGGAGGUGAUGACCUUCUCCAGACAUUUAUCUGACUCUUCCUGAUGAGGCAACACUGCUGAGGGGAAAAAGGAGUUGAGUUCUAAGUUUCUGUAGGGUUAUCAGUAUUUUCCAUUUGACUUAAAUGCAGAUUUAAGUUGGGAUUUCCCUGCAGUCCAGUGGUCAGGAUCUGGGCUCUCAGUGCAGGAGGCAUGGGCUCAAUUCCUUGGUGAGGAGCUAAGAUUCCCAAAGCGUGCCAAUAAAUAAGUAAAUAAACAAAUGGAGACUGCUGUACAGCAUCGGCUUGGUGUUGGCCUUGUUCUUACCAUAUACAAAUUAGUGUGUUUAAAAACAUCACC
ensembl:lncRNA